rnacentral:rRNA from 1 species
AUUGAACGCUGGUGGCAUGCCUUACACAUGCAAGUCGAACGGCAGCACGGGAGCAAUCCUGGUGGCGAGUGGCGAACGGGUGAGUAAUAUAUCGGAACGUGCCCAGUCGUGGGGGAUAACGCAGCGAAAGCUGUGCUAAUACCGCAUACGAUCUAAGGAUGAAAGCGGGGGAUCGCAAGACCUCUCGCGCGUGGAGCGGUGGAUAUCAGAUUAGCUAGUUGGUGGGGUAAAGGCCCACCAAGGCGACGAUCUGUAGCUGGUCUGAGAGGACGACCAGCCACACUGGAACUGAGACACGGUCCAGACUCCUACGGGAGGCAGCAGUGGGGAAUUUUGGACAAUGGGCGCAAGCCUGAUCCAGCAAUGCCGCGUGCAGGAUGAAGGCCUUCGGGUUGUAAACUGCUUUUGUACGGAACGAAACGGCCCUUUCUAAUACAGGGGGCUAAUGACGGUACCGUAAGAAUAAGCACCGGCUAACUACGUGCCAGCCGCCGCCGUAAAAC